AAAAAAUAAGAUAAACAAAAAGAUGGAAAUGAAAUUCAUUUUGUGACUAAUGAAUACAAUCUUGUUUGUACAUCUUGUCUGGUUCAUAACCCCCGCUCCAAUAAGUUCUGAUACUACCUAGGCCACAUGCACAGCCUCAUAACCUAUUCUUCAAUUCUAGCACCUUACUCUCCUUUCCCUGUUCCAACAUGUCUCAAGCAGUAUUUUGAUACGGACCUCUGCAAAUGUGACAUAACCUACCCAAAACUAGGUAGAAAUAAAAUAUUCUCUCUAUCUUAAUGCAAACCAAACCUGUAACAACUGCUGAUAGUGCUCUGUGUUUCUGUUUUGUGUAUGAUGAAUGUGUAAUCUUGCUGUAAGAUUGUAUCUGUUGUGUAUUUGAG